CCUACGGGAGGCAGCAGUAGGGAAUAUUGCUCAAUGGGGGAAACCCUGAAGCAGCAACGCCGCGUGGAGGAUGAAGGUUUUCGGAUUGUAAACUCCUUUUGUUAGAGAAGAUAAUGACGGUAUCUAACGAAUAAGCACCGGCUAACUCCGUGCCAGCAGCCGCGGUAAUACGGAGGGUGCAAGCGUUACUCGGAAUCACGGGGCGUAAAGAGCGCGUAGGCGGGAUCGCAAGUCAGAUGUGAAAUCCUAGGGCUUAACCAUAGAACUGCAUUUGAAACUGUUAUUCUAGAGUAUGGGAGAGGUAGGUGGAAUUCUUGGUGUAGGGGUAAAAUCCGUAGAGAUCAAGAGGAAUACUCAUUGCGAAGGCGACCUGCUAGAACAUAACUGACGCUGAUGCGCGAAAGCGUGGGGAGCAAACAGGAUUAGAUACCCGAGUAGUC
rnacentral:rRNA from 1 species